AGUGAAUAGAUACCCCGGUAGUCCACGCCGUAAACGAUGAUAACUAGCUGUCCGGGCCUCAUGGAGCUUGGGUGGCGCAGCUAACGCAUUAAGUUAUCCGCCUGGGGAGUACGGUCGCAAGAUUAAAACUCAAAGGAAUUGACGGGGGCCGUGCACAAGCGGUGGAGCAUGUGGUUUAAUUUCGAAGCAACGCGCAGAACCUUACCCAGCCUUUGACAUCCUGGUCGCGGGUAGGAGAGAUCCUUCCCUUCAGUUCGGCUGGACCAGUGACAGGUGCUGCAUGGCUGUCGUCAGCUCGUGUCGUGAGAUGUUUGGGUUAAGUCCCGCAACGAGCGCAACCCUCGUCCUUAGUUGCCAUCAUUUAGUUGGGCACUCUAAGGAAACCCGCCGGUGAUAAGCCGGAGGAAGGUGGGGAUGACGUCAAGUCCUCAUGGCCCUUACAGGCUGGGCUACACACGUGCUACAAUGGCGGUGACAGUGGGCAGCGACCCCGCAAGGGGUGAGCUAAUCUCCAAAACGCCGUCUCAGUUCGGAUU
rnacentral:rRNA from 1 species